AUCCCUAAACUGGAGAUGGGCACCUUUCCCCUCCCUCUGCUCCCCAGAGCCCCCAGGGUGGGCAAACCCAGCGCCCCAGGUAGACCAUUUGGCUGUGGUGAGCCUCUCGGAGAGGGAAGCAGCCGGGGGCCCCUCGUGCUGUGACGGGGAAGCCCACGUCCCAGACCAUCUGUCAUCAGGUCGUUUUGCUUCACUGUGUUCCUGACAUGAAGCUCUAAAGCAAAGAGCUUCCCAAUGAGGAGAGAGAAGGUUCUCGAGUCCUGCACAUGUCUUUUCCAGUAGUCAUGAGAGCUGGACCAUAAAGAAAGCUGAGUGCCGAAGAAUUGAUGCUUUUGAACUGUGGUGUUGGAUAAGACUCUUGAAAGUCCCUUGGACUGCAAGGAAAUCCAACCAGUCCAUCCUAAAGGAGAUCAGUCUUGGGUAUUCAUUGGAAGAACUGAUGCUGAGGCUGAAACUCCAAUACUUUGGCCACCUGAUGUGAAGAACUAACUCAUCUAAGAAGACCUUGGUGCUGGGAAAGAUUGAAGGUGGGAAGAGAAGAAGACGACAGAGGAUGAGAUGGCUGGAUGGCAUCACCGACUCAAUGGACGGGAGCUCCAGGAUCCUGAGCCAUCUGUUUGCCCUUCCUCAGGAAGAUGGGCAUCAUUCUGUAGCAGUUUGCUCAUAGGACUCAGAACGAUGAGGAAACCAAGGCUUAGAGGGAUUAGUUACUUCAGCUGCUGUUUGGCCUCACAUCAGAGUUUGCAGAGAUACUGGCCCCACCAUUUACUACUCAGUGGGACCAGUGUCAGGUGGUGGGCACUGCUCUGACCUGUGGCCACAGAGCUCCAAGCAGUCACCCACCUGCUGAGACACACGUCUGUCACAACCUUAGCCACAGUCAGUGAGCAGGUAGGACA
ensembl:lncRNA